rnacentral:rRNA from 1 species
GACGAACGCUGGCGGCGUGCUUAACACAUGCCAGUCGAACGGAAAGGCCCUGCUUUUGUGGGGUGCUCGAGUGGCGAACGGGUGAGUAACACGUGAGUAACCUGCCCUUGACUUUGGGAUAACUUCAGGAAACUGGGGCUAAUAACGGAUAGGAGCUCCUGCUGCAUGGUGGGGGUUGGAAAGUUUCGGCGGUUGGGGAUGGACUCGCGGCUUAUCAGCUUGUUGGUGGGGUAGUGGCUUACCAAGGCUUUGACGGGUAGCCGGCCUGAGGGGGUGUCCGGCCACAUUGGGACUGAGAUACGGCCCAGACUCCUACCGGAGGCAGCAGUGGGAAAUAUUGCACAAUGGGCGGAAGCCUGAUGCAGCAACGCCGCGUGCGGGAUGACGGCCUUCGGGUUGUAAACCGCUUUCGCCUGUGACGAAGCGUGAGUGACGGUAAUGGGUAAAGAAGCACCGGCUAACUACGUG